CCGAGUUGUAAUUUGCAGAGGAUGCUUUUGGUGCGGUGCCUUCCGAGUUCCCUGGAACGGGACGCCACAGAGGGUGAGAGCCCCGUAUGGUCGGACACCAAUCCUGUGUAAAGCUCCUUCGACGAGUCGAGUAGUUUGGGAAUGCUGCUCUAAAUGGGAGGUAAAUCUCUUCUAAAGCUAAAUACCGGCCAGAGACCGAUAGCGCACAAGUAGAGUGAUCGAAAGAUGAAAAGCACCUUGAAAAGGGGGUUAAACAGUACGUGAAAUUGUUGAAAGGGAAGCACUUGUGACCAGACUUGGGCCGGGCGGCUCAUCAGGGGUUCUCCCCUGUGCAUUCCGCCCGGUACAGGCCAGCAUCGGUUCUUACCGGGGGAUAA
rnacentral:rRNA from 1 species